rnacentral:rRNA from 1 species
GUGUGUUCCAGGUAAAUCCGGUUCACUUUAACACUGAGGCGUGACGACGAGGCACUACGGUGCUGAAGCAACAAAUGCCCUGCUUCCAGGAAAAGCCUCUAAGCAUCAGGUAACAUCAAAUCGUACCCCAAACCGACACAGGUGGUCAGGUAGAGAAUACCAAGGCGCUUGAGAGAACUCGGGUGAAGGAACUAGGCAAAAUGGUGCCGUAACUUCGGGAGAAGGCACGCUGACACGUAGGUGAAGUGAUUUACUCAUGGAGCUGAAGUCAGUCGAAGAUACCAGCUGGCUGCAACUGUUUAUUAAAAACACAGCACUGUGCAAACACGAAAGUGGACGUAUACGGUGUGACGCCUGCCCGGUGCCGGAAGGUUAAUUGAUGGGGUCAGCGCAAGCGAAGCUCCUGAUCGAAGCCCCGGUAAACGGCGGCCGUAACUAUAACGGUCCUAAGGUAGCGAAAUUCCUUGUCGGGUAAGUUCCGACCUGCACGAAUGGCGUAAUGAUGGCCAGGCUGUCUCCACCCGAGACUCAGUGAAAUUGAACUCGCUGUGAAGAUGCAGUGUACCCGCGGCAAGACGGAAAGACCCCGUGAACCUUUACUAUAGCUUGACACUGAACAUUGAGCCUUGAUGUGUAGGAUAGGUGGGAGGCUUUGAAGUGUGGACGCCAGUCUGCAUGGAGCCGACCUUGAAAUACCACCCUUUAAUGUUUGAUGUUCUAACGUGGACCCGUUACCCGGGUUGCGGACAGUGUCUGGUGGGUAGUUUGACUGGGGCGGUCUCCUCCUAAAGAGUAACGGAGGAGCACGAAGGUUGGCUAAUCCUGGUCGGACAUCAGGAGGUUAGUGCAAUGGCAUAAGCCAGCUUGACUGCGAGCGUGACGGCGCGAGCAGGUGCGAAAGCAGGUCAUAGUGAUCCGGUGGUUCUGAAUGGAAGGGCCAUCGCUCAACGGAUAAAAGGUACUCCGGGGAUAACAGGCUGAUACCGCCCAAGAGUUCAUAUCGACGGCGGUGUUUGGCACCUCGAUGUCGGCUCAUCACAUCCUGGGGCUGAAGUAGGUCCCAAGGGUAUGGCUGUUCGCCAUUUAAAGUGGUACGCGAGCUGGGUUUAGAACGUCGUGAGACAGUUCGGUCCCUAUCUGCCGUGGGCGCUGGAGAACUGAGGGGGGCUGCUCCUAGUACGAGAGGACCGGAGUGGACGCAUCACUGGUGUUCGGGUUGUCAUGCCAAU